CAUAGAAUCUAUCCCCUAAGUGUUUUAAAUAUUUUUUGUUAUUAUUUACUCCACGCUCUGCAGUAGGGUUAUGAGCCCAGUGGAUGAGAUAUAGGAGAGAAGGGGGAAUACAAAGGAAUAAUCAGCCUCUGACCAUGCUGCAUUUCCAUUUCUACGGGACAUAAAAGGGCUUCUUUCUGCGGCUUAAUCAUUAACCCACAUUUUUGCAUAAACUCCUCAAUCUUUUGGCACAAGAGACGCGCAAUUCGUUUUCAUUCCAGCGCCAGGGAAAAACCCCACCAGGAGCAGGGUGUGAAACAUGGGAAGAAGGUUGAUCACCAAAAGGCAGAGGGGAGGACAUGCAGCGAGGAGCAGGGGAGAAGAGAGCCGGCAGCAGGGGGAAUCCCUCUGCAUGAUGUGGAGCUGUCACUAGAAUUUUAUGGCUGGAUAUGACCGUGCACUGGAAGUUACCCAUGUUGCAUUUCGCCACCGCAACUGAACUUUUCGCUGACCCAGACAGAGGCAUAGAGAGUCGAGUGGGAACUUAUUUUGGGAUCACAAACAAGGAGAAGAUGGAAGGCCCUCAAUUGGUAGUCUAUUUUUUCCCCCAUUUCCAGACUUGCUUUUCGUCCAAAGUAGUAGUUGAUCAAUUAUGUUUUUAAGUUUCAACUGUUUUGCAUGAAACAGAGUUAUUUACACAACUCAAGGUUGCGUUUCACUGUCAGCAAAGAGGAGUUAGAGGAGCAGACCUCUGGAUGUUGGCCAGACGGCGGUCCAUAUCUUCUCACAAUGUUGACACUCGGAGCUCUUAACAGCCAGGCUUGGGUUACCGAUACACUCAGACAAAGAUAACUCGUUCUGCGAGGUUUACAUCGGCCAGUAUCAAGGCUAAUGCGAAAUUCAACGCCUUAAACCGACUUGGAGACAUCGCUCACGGACUAGGACAACGUAAUUGUUUGCAUAAAGGUGGUCGUAAUAAAGCAAUAUUCAUGUUGAA